CUCUUGGAAAUCUUCCAUGUAAUCUCUGCCCAAUGAGUCGUUUAAAUGGCCGCAGUAUUUUGACUGUGCAAAGGUAGCAUAAUCACUUGCCCUUUAAUUAGGGGCUGGAAUGAAGGAGGCGACGAGGUCUAGGCUAUUUAGAUUUUGGCAUAAAUUGACAGGCCGGUCAAAAGGCCGGCAUAGACCAAAGGGACGAUAAGACCCUAUAAAACUUCACUCUUAGUGUUGCGCUUAGCAGAGUAGCCUUACGCCCAAGAGUUCAACUGGGGCGGUAGUUAUAAAAACAAUAAUAUAUAAAAUAUUUUAAAUAGCGCGCUAGAGCUCUUUAAGAAAUAGAACAAGUUACUUUAGGGAUAACAGCGUGAUUCUCCCAGAGAGUCCUAAUUGGCGGGAGAGCUUACGACCUCGAUGUUGAAUUGAGACACCAAGUGUAAGUAGAGAUACACGUAGAUAGUC
rnacentral:rRNA from 1 species